rnacentral:rRNA from 1 species
GGAGGGUGCGAGCGUUGUCCGGAAUCACUGGGCGUAAAGGGCGCGUAGGUGGCCCGUUAAGUGGCUGGUGAAAUCCCGCGGCUCAACUGCGGGGCUGCCGGUCAUACUGGCGAGCUAGAGCACGGUAGGGGCAGAUGGAAUUCCCGGUGUAGCGGUGGAAUGCGUAGAGAUCGGGAAGAAUACCAGUGGCGAAGGCGUUCUGCUGGGCCGUUGCUGACACUGAGGCGCGACAGCGUGGGGAGCAAACAGGAUUAGAUACCCUGGUAGUCCACGCCGUAAACGAUGGACACUAGACGUCGGGGGGAGCGACCCUCCCGGUGUCGUCGCUAACGCAGUAAGUGUCCCGCCUGGGGAGUACGGCCGCAAGGCUG